rnacentral:rRNA from 1 species
UACAGAGGGGGCAAGCGUUAUUCGGAAUUAUUGGGCGUAAAGGGCGCGUAGGCGGCCAUUCAAGUGACGGGUGAAAGCCCUCGGCUUAACCGAGGAACUGCCUGUCAGACUGGAUGGCUUGAGACCGGGAGAGGUGAGUGGAAUUCCCAGUGUAGCGGUGAAAUGCGUAGAUAUUGGGAGGAACACCAGUGGCGAAGGCGGCUCACUGGACCGGUUCUGACGCUGAGGCGCGAAAGCGUGGGGAGCAAACGGG